AGUUGCCAAAGAAAAACAUGAAAGCACACAUUUAAUCGGUAGAAAUACUUUUCCCCCGUUAUUUUCAGUUAUAUAAUCAAAUUCAUACUUUCAUCUUUUAGUUGCUAGAGAUGCGAUCCAGUCGUUCGAUUACAUUACCUUGGAAAAUGUAGAUGCUACAGAGCAAACAUUUGGGUCAUUUGAAGCUUCACCGCUUGCUCUGUAAUGAGUAUUUUUAUUUCAAUAAAAAAAUUAUAAUAAUUACAUUCAUUUAUGAAUAUUGAAAAAUAAACAUGAAUAUAGAAUAUUUUUGAUUAGGCACACUUUUAUAAAUAUUGUUGAACAUAAUAUACUCUACGUGCAUAUCAAAGUUCCAGGUGGGAUCUCUGCUAGUUUAAAAGUUAUGGCCCAAUUGUCUCCAGAGAAAUUGGCAUAGUAGGCAAUGUAACCAAUAACAGCCCUCCUUUUACAAUACUUGUAUCAUUGCACAUCCUGCAAAUUACCAGCAGAGGGUGACCAUUUUCACAUUCACUCUUGGUAAUGUUUACAAGUGGAUCUUAACUUUAAAAGUAGCAGAGAUGCUGUUAGAAAAUAUUAAACAAUUAGCCAAAUAAAACAUUUGUACAAAAUACUACUCAUAUUACAGAGCAAGCUGUAAAGAUUCACAUGACUCCAAUAAUUGCUUUGUAGCGCCUACAUAUUAAACACUAUGGAGUCUUAAACUUUGAUCAAUUAUUUCUCAAUUAUGCUUUUAGAUACAAAUGUCAUUUCAACAAUCCUUCCUCAAAUUACUGUUCUAUGGAUUACAUUGUGUGAAUCAUGGUCUUUGUUGUUCUGGGUUUCGGGAGGAAGCACAUGUGUGACACACUUCGAAGACACUCCUUCCUGUAUGAAGUCACCACGGCCUAGCUAGCAACUGAUCCAAAUCAAUUGUGCCCAAUACUGCACUAAUAAAAACAACAUCUAUACAUAACCAAACAUCAUAAUAUGUCCUGUAACACAUCCUCUUAGUAGUUCAUCCUCAAGGAAGACCCCAAAGAAAGGCUUUAGAUAGUAAAACACAUUUAUUGAGUAGAGAAAAGGAUUAACCGGAAGCUGCACUUGUUUCUGCACCGCUAUAGAUCCAUUCAAUUUACCUCUGUAGCAGCAUGUGCAACAACUUCCUGGUAAAUAGAGAAUGUUAACACUCAAUAAUCCAUUCUGCUCUUCUAGGAAAAACAGUACACAGCACAGCAGGCUGGGACAGAGAACGAGAAAGAGAGGAGCACCAUAUACAUUAAAGCUUUUAAAAAUCAACAAGUCCAACUCUGACCUAAAAAAAACCCAACUAAGAUCAGGCACCUUCCCAAAUGGAUAGAAAAAUGCAACAAAAAAAAGAAAAGAUAUCUUCCGGCAGGGGAAGGCAUGUGUGUCUGAAGAGGGGGUUGGAAUAUGGCGGGGGUUGGAAUAUGGUUGGAGGAGGCUUAUUGUGCUCAUGCGUGCACCCCCUUGGCCAUUGGGGGUGGAUGUUGUAACCAUGGUAUGUUCUGUGCUUCAAUGACAGAAUUGAGAGGUACCCUUUUCACACUACUGAGCCAAGCCGAACUGAGCUGAAUUGGGAUGGACUGGUUCUGCAUCCGCCAUUAGUACACAGUAUGUUCAGGUCAGCACGACAAUGCUAAGGGUAGGGGUUUGCGGGUCGACUUUUAACUGUGCUUUAUUGGACAAGGAUAGGAAUGUGGACUGUGCUUCAUGUUGUGUGCCUCUCUCCCCACAUCCCUGUAUCCCAUGCAGCUGUAUGCAUUCAAUUAUUUGGCCACCAUUGGGUUACUGACUAAUUCAAGUCCAAGUUUAGUAAUAAUACUGCAAGCACCGCAAACUGAGCAAGAAGAGCAGAUAAUGUUAUAAAAUAUGGGGAUUGGUAGAAAAAAAAGACAACUCCCCAUAGUUGAGGGGAAUAGCCUGUUCUUUUAAACAAAGUAUUUCAUUGGUUGUGGCUGAGGUGAGUUACUCAAACACACAAUGUAAAGCACUUGGAGGCUUGAUGGGAAGCGCCUUCAAUAAAUGCAAUCAACCCAUUCAUUAAUUGCUACAGCAUAUAUUACUAAAAAUACAUGUCAUAUCGGGAGUUAAAUGGACACGUGAUACCUAUGUGUUUUCUGACAGCUUACAGCAUGUUUUUGUACAGGGAAAAUAUGUUUUGUUUUAAAGUUAAGAAAAAAAGUAAUUAUAAAAGGCAAAUAAAGUCUUACUGAAGGGCGUUGUUGACAUGGGUAUUGUGCUCCUUUGGUAGUAAAGCUGCCCCCUAACUCCAUUGGUCGACAGCAGGAGAGACAAAACCUCUCAAGAGCCCCGAACUAAAAAUAGGGUCCUUGUCCAUUUCGGUCCUUCAGUUUCUCUCCCCCCUUUUAUGUCCUCUCCGCGGUCUCUGUCAUUCAUUCUGGUUUGUAUUCAUUAGGCACCAAAUGGAAGAAAACAGUCUGAAACAGGGUGGGGCUUCCUGAUCUUGUCCAAUAAGAAAUGCUUGUUUUUGUUUUCCGUUUUCACAUGUUUUAAAACGUUUUUCAUUGCAUGCCCUAAUAAAUAUGACCCAGGUGUUUUUGGAUGUUUGCAUCUCUCUCACGUGAUGAGGCAGCAGUUGAUAUAGCGUGGCCCCAGUCUUCUCUUCAAGACUCCCUUUUUCCUCUUGGGGUUCAGGAUAGCGAUAAUGGCCUCAUCAAACACAGUUUUCAGUCCUUUCUGGGUGAGAGCCGAGCAUUCCACGUAGACACACGCACCAAUCUGGAGAGGAACAGGCUGUCACUCAAAACUAUCAACAUAGGGUUAACCUCAUCACCAAGCUAGCUUGGGGAGGAAGUCUUGUUUGUGAGAGACUCAAUCAACAAAUGCCCAAAACUGAAUAUAUAGAAGCUUUAUCAUACUUUUAAUACAGAAUUGGUUUGACGAGGGACAGACCAUUGGGUAAAGUAAGGUAGACCACUUGUCUCUCCUACACAAUAAAAAAAUCCUUCUGUAACCUCCCUCCUGGCCCCACAGUGGUACGUACCUCCUUGGCUAGCUUCUGGCCCUGCUCUGUGGUGAUGGGUUUUUCCUUCAUGUCGUUCAGCUUGGCAAUGGUCUUGGGGUCAUCACGCAGGUCAAUCUGAAACGGGGAGAGACAAGAUUUCCAAUCAGCACAGCCAAUCGGAAAGGCAGCAGAUAGGUUGCUUAAGAAGCAAC
rnacentral:lncRNA from 1 species